UACGUAGGGUGCGAGCGUUAAUCGGAAUUACUGGGCGUAAAGCGUGCGCAGGCGGUUCGCCAAGUCAGGUGUGAAAUCCCCGGGCUUAACCUGGGAAUUGCGCUUGAAACUAGCGGGCUUGAGUGUGGCAGAGGGGGGUGGAAUUCCACGUGUAGCAGUGAAAUGCGUAGAGAUGUGGAGGAACACCGAUGGCGAAGGCAGCCCCCUGGGCUAGCACUGACGCUCAGGCACGAAAGCGUGGGGAGCAAACAGG
rnacentral:rRNA from 1 species